CCUACGGGUGGCAGCAGUGAGGAAUAUUGGUCAAUGGGCGCGAGCCUGAACCAGCCAAGUCGCGUGAAGGAUGAAGGAUCUAUGGUUUGUAAACUUCUUUUAUAUGGGAAUAAAGUGCGGAACGUGUUCCUUUUUGUAUGUACCUUAUGAAUAAGCAUCGGCUAACUCCGUGCCAGCAGCCGCGGUAAUACGGAGGAUGCGAGCAUUAUCCGGAUUUAUUGGGUUUAAAGGGUGCGUAGGUGGUUAAUUAAGUCAGCGGUGAAAGGUUGUGGCCCAACCAUAAAAUUGCCGUUGAAACUGGUUGACUUGAGUAUAUGAGAGGUAGGCGGAAUGCGUGGUGUAGCGGUGAAAUGCAGAGAUAUCACGCAGAACUCCGGUUGCGAAGGCAGCUUACUAAACUAUAACUGACACUGAAGCACGAAAGCGUGGGGAGCAAACAGGAUUAGAUAUCCCAGUAGUC
rnacentral:rRNA from 1 species